GACGAACCGUGCGAACGUUAUUCGGAAUCACUGGGCUUAAAGCGCGUGUAGGCGGGCCAGCACGUCAGGCGCUGAAAUCCCCCGGCUCAACCGGGGAACGGGCACCGAUACGACUGGCCUGGAGGGGAGUAGGGGGACCUGGAACUUCCGGUGGAGCGGUGAAAUGCGUUGAGAUCGGAAGGAACGCCCGUGGCGAAAGCGAGGUCCUGGGCUCUUACUGACGCUGAGACGCGAAAGCCAGGGGAGCGAACGGG
rnacentral:rRNA from 1 species